rnacentral:rRNA from 1 species
CAGUCGCCGCGGUAAUACGAAGGGUGCAAGCGUUAAUCGGAAUUACUGGGCGUAAAGCGUGCGUAGGCGGUUUGUUAAGUCUGUUGUGAAAUCCCCGGGCUCAACCUGGGAAUGGCAAUGGAUACUGGCAAGCUAGAGCGUGUCAGAGGAUGGUGGAAUUCCCGGUGUAGCGGUGAAAUGCGUAGAGAUCGGGAGGAACAUCAGUGGCGAAGGCGGCCAUCUGGGACAACACUGACGCUGAGGCACGAAAGCGUGGGGAGCAAACAGGAUUAGAUACCCCAGUAGUCCCUGUCUCUUAUCC